rnacentral:rRNA from 1 species
UACGUAGGGCGCAAGCGUUAUCCGGAAUUAUUGGGCGUAAAGAGCUCGUAGGCGGUUUGUCGCGUCUGCUGUGAAAGCCCGGGGCUCAACUCCGGAUCUGCGGUGGGUACGGGCAGACUAGAGUGAUGUAGGGGAGACUGGAAUUCCUGGUGUAGCGGUGAAAUGCGCAGAUAUCAGGAGGAACACCGGUGGCGAAGGCGGGUCUCUGGGCAUUAACUGACGCUGAGGAGCGAAAGCGUGGGGAGCGAACAGG